rnacentral:rRNA from 1 species
AACGAACGCUGGCGGCAGGCUUAACACAUGCAAGUCGAGCGCCCCGCAAGGGGAGCGGCAGACGGGUGAGUAACGCGUGGGAACGUACCCUUUACUACGGAAUAGCUCUGGGAAACUGGAAUUAAUACCGUAUGUGCCCUUUGGGGGAAAGAUUUAUCGGUAAAGGAUCGGCCCGCGUUGGAUUAGCUAGUUGGUGGGGUAAAGGCCUACCAAGGCGACGAUCCAUAGCUGGUCUGAGAGGAUGAUCAGCCACAUUGGGACUGAGACACGGCCCAAACACCUACGGGAGGCAGCAGUGGGGAAUAUUGGACAAUGGGCGCAAGCCUGAUCCAGCCAUGCCGCGUGAGUGAUGAAGGCCUUAGGGUUGUAAAGCUCUUUCACCGGAGAAGAUAAUGACGGUAUCCGGAGAAGAAGCCCCGGCUAACUUCGUGCCAGCCGCCGCAGUAAAAC